rnacentral:rRNA from 2 species
UCAUGAUUUACAUUUGAGUGAGUGGCGAACUGGUGAGUAACACGUGGGAAACCUGCCCAGAAGCGGGGGAUAACACCUGGAAACAGAUGCUAAUACCGCAUAACAACUUGGACCGCAUGGUCCGAGCUUGAAAGAUGGCUUCGGCUAUCACUUUUGGAUGGUCCCGCGGCGUAUUAGCUAGAUGGUGGGGUAACGGCUCACCAUGGCAAUGAUACGUAGCCGACCUGAGAGGGUAAUCGGCCACAUUGGGACUGAGACACGGCCCAAACUCCUACGGGAGGCAGCAGUAGGGAAUCUUCCACAAUGGACGAAAGUCUGAUGGAGCAACGCCGCGUGAGUGAAGAAGGGUUUCGGCUCGUAAAACUCUGUUGUUAAAGAAGAACAUAUCUGAGAGUAACUGUUCAGGUAUUGACGGUAUUUAACCAGAAAGCCACGGCUAACUACGUGCCAGCAGCCGCGGUAAUACGUAGGUGGCAAGCGUUGUCCGGAUUUAUUGGGCGUAAAGCGAGCGCAGGCGGUUUUUUAAGUCUGAUGUGAAAGCCUUCGGCUCAACCGAAGAAGUGCAUCGGAAACUGGGAAACUUGAGUGCAGAAGAGGACAGUGGAACUCCAUGUGUAGCGGUGAAAUGCGUAGAUAUAUGGAAGAACACCAGUGGCGAAGGCGGCUGUCUGGUCUGUAACUGACGCUGAGGCUCGAAAGUAUGGGUAGCAAACAGGAUUAGAUACCCUGGUAGUCCAUACCGUAAACGAUGAAUGCUAAGUGUUGGAGGGUUUCCGCCCUUCAGUGCUGCAGCUAACGCAUUAAGCAUUCCGCCUGGGGAGUACGGCCGCAAGGCUGAAACUCAAAGGAAUUGACGGGGGCCCGCACAAGCGGUGGAGCAUGUGGUUUAAUUCGAAGCUACGCGAAGAACCUUACCAGGUCUUGACAUACUAUGCAAAUCUAAGAGAUUAGACGUUCCCUUCGGGGACAUGGAUACAGGUGGUGCAUGGUUGUCGUCAGCUCGUGUCGUGAGAUGUUGGGUUAAGUCCCGCAACGAGCGCAACCCUUAUUAUCAGUUGCCAGCAUUAAGUUGGGCACUCUGG